rnacentral:lncRNA from 1 species
AUAUUAUUUAUUUAUUUAGCCUUGAUAAAGAGGGAUCUUCUGUGAUAUUUGACAAUAUAGAUGAAUCUUGAGGAUAUUAUGCUAAGUGUAAUAAACCAGUCACAGAAAGAUAAAUGCAUGAUUCCACUUCUAUGGAAUAUCUAAAAUUGUCAUGUUCAUAGACCUAAAGAGUGGAAUGAUGUUUUCCAGGAGCCAGGGGAGGGAGGAAAUGGGGAGUUGCUACUCAAGGAAUAUACAGUUUUAGUGAAGCAAGGAACAUACAGCUGUGACAGCGAGCCAGCAAAUACGCUGGCCUCACACAGAGCUCUGGGCCUCCCUGUCCUUGCCUGCAGGUAAAAGGGAUGCCGGUCCUUCCUUUUUCUU